rnacentral:tRNA from 1 species
CGGAAUGUAGUUUAAGGGAAAAACAUACGGCGUUACGCACCGUAGACUCUGGUUCGAAUCCAGGCUUUCCGA